GUCGCUCCUACCGAUUGGAUGAUCCGGUGAAAUUCUCGGACGUGGCUGAGGGAGCGGGUUCGCUCGCACUCGCGGCCGCGGAAGUUGCUUAAACCUUAUCAUCUAGAGGAAGGAG
rnacentral:rRNA from 1 species